AACAGGUGAACGGUUGGACUUGGAUGAUCUUUUAGGUCUUUUCCAACCUUGGUGGUUCUAUGAUUUCCUUUUCUGAGACAUGCUGUACAGAUGUGCAGCUGCUCACACUUGCCCUGUGUACAGAUGAAGCUCUGACCAACUGUAAAACCCUGUCCUUGCCUGUACUCUACUAUGUGCUGCUGGUGGCUGCCACCUGGCAGUGGUUUGUUGUAGGCUGACAUGGUCACAGUCCUCCAGUGUCAGUGCUGUACAGUAUAACAAAACCAUUAUAUUCUUUUCAGUCUCUGAAUGGCUGAGGUGACCUGAAGUUCCCUCUGUUCAUCCAACACUCAGCAUGCAAAAACUGCUUGCUCCUAUAGUGUGUUUGCACAACCAUCUGGCUUGCAUCCAGCCAGCCAAUUUUUGCUCUGUUUGAACCCACACCUAGAGGUGAGGAGGGAUUUAUUAGUGAAGCCUGUACAGAAAUGCAUGCGUUGCUCUGAACCACUCAUUGUUUCAGCCUUUAUUUUCAGGGAAAACUUAAAGCAUGGAUGGCACAGAGAAAACUGGUCUAUGUGCUGCACACUUCAUCGCUGUCUCGCUCAAGCAUGAGAAGAUUAGCUUUGGAGAGCUGCUUUCUAUAUCCCAAAUCCUGCACUGCACGUCCUGGUUCUUAAUCCAGCAUCUCAGAGCAUGUGGGUAUUUCCAAGUCUGCUUCACACCAGUGCUACCUACCACAGAUGCUGCGAUGGACAACAGACCCAAAAUCAGGUCAGUGAGUUUUAAGGAAUGCUGAAGUACAGCUGGUGCUAUCAUUCACUCUCUGCAAGGUAAUUUGCAACACAAUAAGAUAAAGGAUGUCAGGAAGUCUUAAAGGCCCAAAAGCAAUGCUAAGCACAGCCUGAAAGCCCCUUGUUUAUGGCUAUGGUUAUGGGCUUCAGGCCUUGAAAGCAGAGCACACAAUACUUAUGCUUGGUCACAGCUCAUCACUCACAUUUAUUGAGACAACCUCACCUGGAGCAUGCUGCUCACCACAGUGUGUGGCUGUAUUACUUUGGUGCAAUGUAGAAACAUAAGCUGCAUUCAUGGUAUUUACAUACAAAAUGUGCUAGAGGUGUAACCCACGCUGUUUAAAUAAACACAUUUAUAUAUAUAAUCAGUGAUAUAUAAACAACAGUUUUACAUGUUACCUUCCCAUAAUAUUCCAGCACACCACCACACAUACAAACACCACAAUACUUUGUAAGACCUCCUCCUAACUAUCAAGUUUCUUCACUUGUCUAUGUAGCAACACAACAAGCAAGACAGCUGACACAGGAAACUUGAAGCAGGAUUGCCUUCUUUGAUUACAAAUACCUUAUCUCAAACAGACCAGCAGAGUGAGGAUAAAUUAAGCAGCUUCAGUUAUUCUUCAGUUUCAUAGUUCAGCCACAGGGAGGUGUGUUUCCAAAGGCAGCAAUCAGCCUAGAAAAACAUGAGUCUUCUACUAUGAAAACCCAAUUUCUGUGAGCGUACAGUGCAGGCAUCUUUGAGACUAAGUACAUUGUACUUAGGGAUUAAUCUGCAGAGUAUGUGCCAAAUUAAAGAAGGCACUUUUAAAGCUAAGGGGACCCUUAAAGCUAAAGACUCUUUUAAAGCUAAGGAGAUUUACAACAUCACCCCACUAAACAUACAUGGGACACAAUGCGAAACACUGAAACCUAACGCAGUGAGGGAGCCUAAGCAAAAGAUGAACAGAAAAACAAAUGAGCAUUUUCUUCCCUCAAACUUAUGGUUGCUCACUGUAUGGGAACAGAUAUUAAGCAAGAAAGAAAUGGAAAAAUAAGGAGAAAUUACACCUUGGAAAACACAACACGUGAACUACCUCCAGAAAAUACCUAAUUCAAAACCACCUCUAAUGGUGACGAGUUAGACAACAGGUGAAGGCCUGCAAGUAAGAAAAGCUGUGGACUUUUGGUACCUUUUGGCAAAGAUUCAAUCAAUUCAGCCUGGUAGAAUUCAGUUCUCCAUUGGUAAGAAUAAUAUUUAUAGUCUCAAGCAAAUCAGAACAAUAAAGA